rnacentral:misc_RNA from 1 species
AAGACUAUAGACCUGCGGAGUACCUGCGGAGGGAUCAUUACAAGUGACCCCGGUCUAACCACCGGGAUGUUCAUAACCCUUUGUUGUCCGACUCUGUUGCCUCCGGGGCGACCCUGCCUUCGGGCGGGGGCUCCGGGUGGACACUUCAAACUCUUGCGUAACUUUGCAGUCUGAGUAAACUUAAUUAAUAAAUUAAAACUUUUAACAAUGGAUCUCU